rnacentral:snoRNA from 1 species
AGCCCCCUGGUGCUUACCGCAGGCUAUGUUCUUACACUUGACUCUAUAGAAAGAGGAAGCAAAGAAAAUCUACCCCAUAUACACCUCAGCCCAGGUCCUGUGCCUGGUCUGUAUUGUGAAUGGGGUGGGGAAA